UGCCAGCCGCCGCGGUAAGACGGAGGAUGCAAGUGUUAUCCGGAAUCACUGGGCGUAAAGGGCGUGUAGGCGGUUUGUCUAGUCAGGCGUGAAAGCCCCGGGCUCAACCUGGGAACUGCGUUUGAUACUGGCAGGCUAGAGGUUGGAAGAGGAGAGUGGAAUUCCCAGUGUAGAGGUGAAAUUCGUAGAUAUUGGGAAGAACACCAGUGGCGAAGGCGGCUAACUGGCUCGGUACUGACGCUGAGAUGCGAAAGCGUGGGGAGCAAACAGGAUUAGAUA
rnacentral:rRNA from 1 species